rnacentral:rRNA from 1 species
AGUUCGAUCAUGGCUCAGAUUGAACGCUGGCGGGAUGCUUUACACAUGCAAGUCGAACGGCAGCACGGACUUCGGUCUGGUGGCGAGUGGCGAACGGGUGAGUAAUGUAUCGGAACGUGCCUGAAGUAGCGGGGGAUAACUACGCGAAAGCGUAGCUAAUGCCGCAUACGCCCUUCGGGGAAAACAGGGGACCUUCCGGGCCUCGCACUUUUAGAGCAGCCAGAGUAUCGGAUUAGCUAGUUGGUGGGGUAACGGCUCACCAGGCGACGAUCCGUAAGCUGGUUCCGGAGACCAGCCGAUAGCCACACUGGGACUGAGACACGGCUUGGAGGCUCUACAGGAGGCAGCAGUGGGGAAUUUUGGACAAUGGGGAAACCCUGAUCCAGCCAUCCCGCGUGUGCGAUGAGGCCUUCGAAUUGUAAAACACUUUUGGCAGGAAAGAAAACGGCACGGGAUAAUACCCGUGCACCACAACUGACGGUACCUGCAGACCAAGCACCGGCUAACUACGUGCCAGCAACGCGGUAAUACGUAGGGUGCAAGCGUUAAUCGGAAUUACUGGGCGUAAAGCGUGCGCAGGCGGUUCAGGGGAAAGAAAGAUGUGAAAUCCCAGGCUUAACUUUGGAACUGCAUUUUUAACUACCGAAGCUAAGUGUGUCAGAGGAGGUGGAAUUCCGCGUGUGGCAGACAGAAGUAAACAGAUAUGCGGAGGAACACCGAUGGCGAAGGCAGCCUCCUGGAGAUAACACUGACGCUCAUGCACGAAAGCGUAGAACAAACAGAGUUAGAUACCCUGGUAGUCCACGCCUAAACAAUCAACUAACUGUUGGGGCCUUCGGGCACUUGUGUACAACUAACGUGAAGUUGACCGCCUGGGGAAUUACGGUCGCAAGAUUAAAACUCAAAGAAAGGAAUUGACGGGGACCCGCACAAGCGGUGGAUGAUGUGUGGAUUAAUUCGAUGCAACGCGAAAAACCUUACCUACCCUUGACAUGUCUGGAAUCCCGAAGAGAUUUGGGAGUGCUCGCAAGAGAACCGGGCCACAGGUGCUGCAUGGCUGUCGUCAGCUCGUGUCGUGAGAUGUUGGGUUAAGUCCCGCAACGAGCGCAACCCCCUUGUCAUUAGUUGCUACGAAGGGCACUCUAAUGAGACUGCCGGUGACAAACCGGAGGAAGGUGGGGAUGACGUCAAGUCCUCAUGGCCCUUAUGGGUAGGGCUUCACACGUCAUACAAUGGUCGGGACAGAGGGGUCGCCAACCCGCGAGGGGAGCCAAUCCAGAAACCCGAUCGUAGUCCGGAUCGCAGUCUGCAACUCGACUGCGUCUGAAGUCGGAAUCGCUAGUAAUCGCGGAUCGGCAUGUCGCGGUGAAUACGUUCCACGGGUCUUGUACCACCGCCCGUCACACCAUGGGAGUGGGUUUUACCAGAAGUAGUUAGCCUAACGUAAGGAGGGCGAUUACCACGGAAGGAUUCAUGACUGGGGUGAAGUCGUAACAGGUAG